CACUUUGCUUGUUGCCAUCUUGAUGCCACAUGAUGAGUACAAACAUCUACUUAGGAAGCCAGAAUAUACCCUCUGGAAAUAACCAAGGACUGGCCCAAGCGCUUUCUCUGCAAGAGAUAAGAUUCUUACUCAAGGCAAUCUUAGCAGAUUUGAAGCUCAGUAUCUGCUUCUGAAGCUGGGAGACAGAAUCCCUGAGUUCAUCAUUUUCUUUCAUCACUUUGUCCACUGAACUUAGGAGCAACCAACCAGCUUCAUUAUGUUCCUUGGUUCUCCACAUACAGUCAAAGGUAUUAUGUAUAGAGUCACUAAACUCCUUGCCACUCACGAGCGGUGAAAUCAGGAGUAUCAAAUGCAUUUAUUUUGCAUAACGUUCUAAACAGUUCAUGCCAAAGACUAUCAGUGUUCUCUGUACUAUUAGAAGUAGAGUCCUUAGCAUUUUGGGGUCUAAUCAUAUUAAGCAGCCAACUCCAAAAACCCCAAAACUAAUUAAAGAACUCCAUCCUUAAUAUUCUGUUCCUCACCUGUAAUCCCAGCACUUUGGGAGGCUGAGGCGGGCGGAUCACGAGGUCAGGAGAUCGAGACCAUCUUGGCUAACACGGUGAGACCCCGUCUCUAUUAAAAAUACAAAAAAUUAGCCAGGCGCGGUGGCGGGUGCCUGUAAUCCCAGCUACUCAGGAGGCUGAGGCAGGAGAAUGGCGUGAACCCGGGAGGUGGAGCUUGCAGUGAGCCGAGAUAGCGCCACUGCACUCCAGCCUGGGCGAAAGAGCAAGACUCCUUCUCAAAAAAAAAAAAAAAAAAAAAAAAAAUCUGGUCCUCUAGAACCACUCCUGGUACCAAAAUCUGUAUUAGUCAGGGUUCUUUAGAGGGAUAGAACUGAUAGGAGAUACA